UAGUUGAAGAGCAGAAAGAGGCCCCGCCCCCUGCUUCAGCCCCGCCCCUUCCCACGACCACGCCGCCUGUCACUGAAAAGAAAGUAAAAUUUCAAGAUGAGUGCAAAAACGAGGCUCCUAAAGCGGCCAAACUCAAUCAGCAGGCAGCAGAGGAGAACAG